rnacentral:rRNA from 1 species
UGGGGAAUUUUCCGCAAUGGGCGAAAGCCUGACGGAGCAACGCCGCGUGAGGGAUGAAGGCCUCUGGGCUGUAAACCUCUUUUCUCAAGGAAGAAGAUCUGACGGUACUUGAGGAAUAAGCCACGGCUAAUUCCGUGCCAGCAGCCGCGGUAAUACGGGAGUGGCAAGCGUUAUCCGGAAUUAUUGGGCGUAAAGCGUCCGCAGGCGGCCCUGUAAGUCUGUCGUUAAAGCGUGGAGCUUAACUCCAUUUAAGCGAUGGAAACUGCCAGGCUUGAGUGUGGUAGGGGCAGAGGGAAUUCCCGGUGUAGCGGUGAAAUGCGUAGAUAUCGGGAAGAACACCAGUGGCGAAGGCGCUCUGCUGGGCCAUAACUGACGCUCAUGGACGAAAGCCAGGGGAGCGAAAGGGAUUAGAUACCCCUGUAGUC